CCUCGACAUGCGGCGGGGUCACUGCCACGAACCGAUGCCUCUGGAUGCUGAGAUGGCGCAAGUCGUGGUCCAGCUCCGGCAAGCCGUCCAGCAAGGCGGCGGACUGCGGGCAAACAGGCACCUGUUCGACCAGGUGGCGGUCAGAGAGGCCGGGGCGGCAAUUGGCUAUCCGGCGGCGCGGCAGAUCCUAAUGAAGGAGCGCCGCCGCGAUCACCCUGCUACGCCCCAGGCCCCGGCACAGGCUGCCCAUGCGAUCGAGGCCGCUGUUCCCGGCAUCCGAAGGAACCUGGCCUUCACCAUCACGACCGACGAUGGCCAGGCUGCGAUCUGCCUGGCCGCUGACGAUGUGGUGGCCAGCG